CACGUAGGGUGCGAGCGUUGUCCGGAAUUAUUGGGCGUAAAGAGCUCGUAGGCGGUGUGUCGCGUCGGCCGUGAAAACCUGCAGCUUAACUGUGGGCUUGCGGUCGAUACGGGCAUCACUGGAGUUCGGCAGGGGAGACUGGAAUUCCUGGUGUAGCGGUGAAAUGCGCAGAUAUCAGGAGGAACACCGGUGGCGAAGGCGGGUCUCUGGGCUGAUACUGACGCUGAGGGGCGAAAGCGUGGGGAGCGAACAGG
rnacentral:rRNA from 1 species